GUCAUUCUACUAAGCCUGUGCACUCUGCUUUAUGACGUCAUGCUACUAGGCCUGCGCAGUCUGAUAUAUGACGUCAUGCUGCUAGGCCUGUGCCUUCUGCUUUAUGGUGUCAUUCUACUAAGCCUGUGCACUCUGCUUUAUGACGUCAUGCUACUAGGCCUGCGCAGUCUGAUAUAUGACGUCAUGCUGCUAGGCCUGUGCCUUCUGCUUUAUGGUGUCAUUCUACUAAGCCUGUGCACUCUGCUUUAUGACGUC